rnacentral:rRNA from 1 species
GGGAUAUUGGUCAAUGGUGGGAACACUGAACCAGCCAUGCCGCGUGAGGGAAUGAGGCCCUACGGGUCGUGAACCUCUUUUGACCGGGGACAAGGACGCCCACGCGAUGGGCGUCUGAGGGUACCGGUGGAAUAAGCGUCGGCUAACUACGUGCCAGCAGCCGCGGUAAUACGGAGGACGCGAGCGUUAUCCGGAUUCAUUGGGUUUAAAGGGUGCGCAGGCGGCCGGUCAAGUCAGCGGUGAAAUCCCGGGGCCCAACCCCGGAAGUGCCGUUGAUACUGAUUGGCUGGAAUGCGGUCGAGGCGGGCGGAACGUGGCGUGUAGCGGUGAAAUGCGUAGAUAUGCCACAGAACGCCGAUAGCGGAGGCAGCUCGCCAGGCCUGCAUUGACGCUCGGGCACGAAAGCGUGGGGAUCGAACA